GGUAAUGAGUUUGUAUUAUGACUCAAUAGCAUCACUUUAUCACUUUAACACAGAUGGAGGCCUAAAUAACCAUAGGGUAAUGGUUCUUCUUAGAUGCAGAAGGACACAUUUAUAUAAUCUUAGGGACCCCAUCUCUGAGGUCACUCAUAAUUUAUAUUAAUUCAUUGUUAUUGCCAUUGCCCCAAGAAUAGAUAAGGAUAAGACAUCCUGUAGUACAGGUAGCAGAGAUAUAAACUAUUCUUAUUCUUGUGUCUUGUCUAUAGGAAGGGAGUGUAUCCUGGUGUAAGACAGCAUAUAGUAGAGACCAUUGUCAAUUAGGGCCUGUGAACUAAGACAGGGUGACUGGCUAAGUCCACAACCCAUUAGAAACCCAGAAAUAAUCAAAUCAUGAGGGAUCAUGGAAAGGAAGCUGAAUUUGCCAAGUUUUGCCACUUGGGCAUUGCAUGCCUAUGUGAUUAACCACCAAUAAAAACCUGGGACAUCAAAGAAUAAAUA
rnacentral:lncRNA from 1 species